CAAGCAGAAUCUGCAGCGGUUGGCAAAUUUAGCUGCUGCUUUGUUUCGCUUCCCUCCCCUCAGUCUGUGUUUGCCAGUUGUCUGCGCUCAGCCAGUAGCUGUUUUAUGCUGUGGGUUUGCAUUGACCGACCUGCAGCCUCAGUCUGUGAGUAUUUUCGUCUGGGAGCUACCUGCAAACUCUUUGCUGCUCUUCUGUUGUACUCAUCUCCAUGGCAGCCAAAUAUCCUACACCUCUGCUGCAUCACACAAGGCACGUCCCAUAUUUAGAGGUCUAUGGAGUACGCAUGUCUGCUCUUACCAGGACUUUUUCUGAGGGCUUGAAGGACAUGGACCCUUUAUACAGCAUAUGAUCCUGUACUAUUCACUGUCCUGGACAGAUGCCUGGUGUUGUAAAGGGGGAUAGUGAAGACUUGGUCUUGGGACAGUCAUCUACACUUGAGAAUAUCCCAUUUCAUCUGAGAAGAAAGUUCUAUAAGCAUAAUUCCUCACUGAAGGUGGCCGAGAGCUGUGCAGGCUGGCAUGAUG